UGAGUAACACGUGAGUGACCUGCCUUUUAGACUGGAACAACUUACCGAAAGGUGAGCUAAUGCCGGAUGAGUUAUAUAAGUGCAUGUUUAUAUAGGAAAAGUUGGGGAGACCUGACGCUGAAAGAUGGACUCGCGUCCCAUUAGCUAGUUGGUAGGGUAAUGGCCUACCAAGGCGACGAUGGGUAGCCGGCCUGAGAGGGUGGUCGGCCACACUGGGACUGAGACACGGCCCAGACUCCUACGGGAGGCAGCAG
rnacentral:rRNA from 1 species